AUCUUUUAGUUAUCUCUAGGUAGCAAGGCGGUCUAUGACAAUCUUGCCACCUCUGAAAAAUGUAGGCCACUAGCCUUACAUUUUGCCAACAGCUUUGAUGAAUUUCUAAACGAUCGCAUCGUAUAAUCUCAAACAUGUUUUAAUCAAAGGGCCGCAUUAAAGCGGAUGGCAGACUGUGUGCAUCAGCAGUGAUACAGCAUAUUUCAGUGGACAGCAUCCACACUGGGAACAGGACAAAAUGGCUGAUAAGAGUGACCUAAAAGCCGAACUUGAGCGUAAGAAACAGCGCCUUGCUCAAAUCAGAGAGGAAAAAAAGAGAAAGGAGGAAGAAAAAAAGAAAAAAGAGUCAGAGACACAACAGAAAGCAGAAGCUGCUCCUGAGGAUUCAGAUUUGCACCGCAAGCACAGGGAGACCAACCAAGGCCCUCCUCGAGCAUUGGAAUCUCACCCGAACCUCUAUUAGUCCCGACACCAAUGUCCCCAUCAAAAUCAAUGAGCACACCCAGCGAGACAGGCAG